ACGGGGGGGGCAAGCGUUGUUCGGAAUUACUGGGCGUAAAGCGCGCGUAGGUGGUUUGUUAGGUUGAAUGUGAAAUCCCCGGGCUCAACCUGGGAACUGCAUCCAAAACUGGCAAGCUAGAGUAUGGUAGAGGGUGGUGGAAUUUCCUGUGUAGCGGUGAAAUGCGUAGAUAUAGGAAGGAACACCAGUGGCGAAGGCGACCACCUGGACUGAUACUGACACUGAGGUGCGAAAGCGUGGGGAGCAAACAGGA
rnacentral:rRNA from 1 species